CGCACUGGGAUGAGAAGUUCCACCAUAAGAUGGUAGACAACCGUGGCUUCAUGGUGACCCGCUCCUACACUGUGGGUGUUACGAUGAUGCACCGGACAGGCCUCUACAACUACUAUGACGACGAGAAGGAGAAGCUGCAGCUGGUGGAGAUGCCCUUGGCCCAUAAGCUCUCCAGCCUCAUCAUCCUCAUGCCCCACCACGUAGAACCGCUCGAGCGCCUGGAGAAGUUGCUGACCAAGGAGCAACUAAAGACCUGGAUGGGGAAGAUGCAGAAGAAGGCUGUUGCCAUCUCCCUGCCCAAGGGAGUGGUGGAGGUGACCCAUGACCUGCAGGUGAGGACCAGAGGAUAGCAGCUAGCUAGGGCAGGUUUCACCCGGUUGCUCAGCAGGUCCAUCCUGCAUCCAUAGGGCACCCAGACAGUGCUGGACUCUGCUGGGGGAGAGAGAAGUGGGUUCUGCCCUUGGGAGGAUGGACUGAAAACAGUUGAACAGUUAUUGGCUGUUAUCUCUAGCCAGGUUCCACAGUGGGCUGAGCCCUCUCAAGAAAACCCCUCACGGAUAUGCUGACAGGCCAGUCUGGUCUCAGGCAGUCCCUUAUUGAUGGCUUUCCUCUCAGAUAACUCUAAACUGUGUUUAAUUGAUAAUCAAAGCUAACGGGGAUAGGAGGGUGCGGGCCCUGGUGGUUGGUAUACAGAGGAACGAAAGAAACAGUGGUUUGCAGCUCUAGGACCAAGCCUGGAGCGAGGUGUCCAGGGAGUGUCUGUCUCUUUUUGGAGGAGCCUCCAGGGUGGUGUGGA
rnacentral:lncRNA from 1 species